ensembl:lncRNA
GCCGGGGCAGCUGCUGGCCCACUGCGCCGGGAGAGCGGCGGUGGCUGCUGGUGUACUCGGCCCGCUAGGGGAUGUGGAGUCAGUGCGGCUGGCGGCGGCCCGGGGCUCGCGGGCUGAGGCGCUGGGAGUGCACUGGGGACCUGGAUCCCCAGAGCCUUUCGCCCUUCAGGAACCUGCAGAUGCCGUUCACUCGUAUUUACGGCAGAGACCCCCACAGAGCUCCCCUUCCAUCAUGUGAGGACCCAGAAGUGGGCAGUCUGCAACCUGCAAGAGAGGACUCACCUGACCAUGCUGGCACCCUGACCCUGGACUUGCAACCUCCAGAACUGUGAGAAAUUUCUGUUGAGUCUAAGCUACCCAGGCUGUGGUGUUUCAUUUUGGAAGUUCUGCUGAACGAAGACACCAGGUCUCAGUUUUUCAAAGUUCCUCAGGUGACUCCAGUGUCCACGUGGCUGGGAACCACUGGUCUAGAUUGUGAGUGGCUGUUCCAGGACCUGUAGUGUAGGGCCUUAGCACGUGCCAGCCAUUAAUCAUUGUUGGCAAAGCAGUGGAUCGGCUGUGUGAGAACCUGGUCGUGGACUUGCAAGAAGCCGUCACUGAUGGUAAAAGGCUGGGUCCGUCCUUUCCCAGGAGGACUCCUGUUCCCCAUGGAGCCCCCUUCGAACUUCACAGUUAAGUGGGUGGCAUCUUUCACCCUCCUGCUACAGCCAGCUGCAGGAUGAAACAGCUCGUGAGCAGCUCUGCCUGUGCUGGUCUGAUUUCUACCCUGCAAGUCCUUUGCUCAUGGACCUUGUUGAGCAAACUGGCUCUUGGGACAGAAAACAACACUUUGGGGGAAUAACAUGAAUCCUACAAGCUGCCUGUUUACUUCCCAGGGGAAGCUCUACCCCAUUGGAGUUGCCUGAUAGACCCUGAGGGGUCUUGCCACACCCUUGGUUUCUAGGAGAAGCCUUGGGAAGAGGGCCUUUGGGAAGUGGAACCUUUGGGAAGAAGACACAUGUUAGUGGUUCAUUUUCUGCCAGCAAGUUCUUGGGGGGAAAAAUGGCACAAUUUUGAGAGAUACUUCCAGCAUCUCAGCAGGACUGACAGGAAGCCCUGCCAGGGCCAAGGCCGAAGAUCCCGCCCCCAUGUUUCCCCAUCACCUUCCCCAUAGCAGAACCUACAGCUUUCUUCCUCUUUCUGGAAGAGUUUUUUCCCAGGCUGUAGUGCAAGUGCUGCUUCAAACCAACCAUGAGAUUUCCUGGGAUACCCUUACUAAUUAUGCCAAUCUGCCACUUUCCUUGGAGAUGGAUCUAUUUGUAACGAACUAGUUCAAAUACACAGAACAUAAAUACCUGGGUGACCACACUCAACAUUAAUAAAUGUUAUGGUGUCUGCUU